rnacentral:rRNA from 1 species
UACGAAGGGGGGCUAGCGUUGCUCGGAAUCACUGGGCGUAAAGCGCACGUAGGCGGAUCUUUAAGUCAGAGGUGAAAUCCUGGAGCUCAACUCCAGAACUGCCUUUGAUACUGAAGAUCUUGAGUUCGGGAGAGGUGAGUGGAACUGCGAGUGUAGAGGUGAAAAUUCGUAGAUAUUCGCAAAGAAACACCCAGUGGCGAAGGCGGCUCACUGGCCCCGAUACUGACGCUGAGGCACGAAAGCGUGGGGGAGCAAACAGGG